AAGAUUGUCGGGGCCUUCGGGCUUCAACUCCAACCCCAUGUUUACUAUAAACGUUUGCUUCGGUGGGUCGGUGCUCGCACCGCCGGCCUCAAGGCUGGAGAGCACCCACCGAUGGCGGCUUCAAACUCGGUUUCCACCUGUGACAUCUGAGUAAUUUAAGAAUAAAGCA
rnacentral:misc_RNA from 1 species